CCACUUCACAUUCAUCCGCGGCGCGCUAUAUCGGUCCUGCCGGUUUCGGCCGGCUAUGGCGAUAAAGUGCGCCGUGAAAUAGGUACAAUGGACCCGGGGGCAGUACCCGGCGGCUCCACCAAAACCGCAGUGACCUGCGCGUUCUGACGGGGCCGAACCAGGAUCGACAUGUGCUGAAAGACGGUGUUUUUGCUCGGGCUGAGUACCCCGUAAAACUGUUCAAAACACACAAGUGCCAACGAUAACGAAGCACUCGCUCUUGCUGCGUAAUCUGACGUCCUAACGGACUGAUCUUACAAGGCUUAAGCGCGGUUGGACCGACCGGGCAACAGAACGGAUUCCGG
rnacentral:tmRNA from 1 species